AGAUUGAACGCUGGCGGCACGCCUAACACAUGCAAGUCGAACGGUAACAUGAUUAGUAGCAAUACUAAUUGAUGACGAGUGGCGGACGGGUGAGUAACACGUAGGAACCUACCGAGUAGAGGGGGAUAACCAAGGGAAACUUUGGCUAAUACCGCAUGCACUCGAGAGAGUAAAGCUGGCCGAAAGGUGAGCGCUAUUUGAGGGGCCUGCGUCCGAUUAGCUAGUUGGUGAGGUAAA
rnacentral:rRNA from 1 species